rnacentral:rRNA from 1 species
UUUCGAAUCAUUCACAAUGGGCGCAAGCCUGAUGGUGCGACGCCGCGUGGGGGAUGAAGGUCUUCGGAUUGUAAACCCCUGUCACCGGGGAAGAAACGCUUUGAGCUAAUAGUUCAAAGCCUGACUUAACCCGGAGAGGAAGCAGUGGCUAACUCUGUGCCAGCAGCCGCGGUAAUACAGAGACUGCAAGCGUUAUUCGGAUUCACUGGGCGUAAAGGGUGCGCAGGCGGCCGGGUGUGUCAGGUGUGAAAGCCCGAGGCUUAACCUCGGAAUUGCGCCUGAAACUGCUCGGCUAGAGCAUUGGAGAGGGUAGCGGAAUUCACGGUGUAGCAGUGAAAUGCGUAGAUAUCGUGAGGAACACCAGAGGCGAAGGCGGCUACCUGGACAAUUGCUGACGCUCAGGCACGAAAGCGUGGGGAGCAAAAG